UUGAUCCUACGGGAGGCAGCAGUGAGGAAUAUUGGUCAAUGGUCGGGAGACUGAACCAGCCAAGCCGCGUGAGGGAUGAAGGUACAGAGUGUCGUAAACCUCUUUUGUCAGGGAACAAAGGCGGGGACGCGUCCCCGGAUGAGUGUACCUGAAGAAAAAGCAUCGGCUAACUCCGUGCCAGCAGCCGCGGUAAUACGGAGGGGGCAAGCGUUAUCCGGAAUUACUGGGUGUAAAGGGAGCGUAGACGGCAAUGCAAGUCCGGAGUGGAAUGCGGCAGCUCAACUGCCGAACUGCUCUGGAAACUG
rnacentral:rRNA from 1 species